rnacentral:lncRNA from 1 species
AUUUCUUUGAUUCACUUCUUGGUAUUAGAGCCAGCCCAUACAUACCAUCACCUGUAACUCUUGAACCAUCAGAAAUUAUCAUAUGGGUACUGACAAAAUCGAAGUCACCAUGCCCAUUGAAUCCUCCAUAAAAAAUGAAGCUUCUUUACCUGUUAUUCAUGUCCAGUCUGAAUCCUCUGGCUUUCAUGCCGGUAUUACUCUCACAAAAACCAAGUAUGAUGUUUGGUCCCAGAUCUUAGAGAUGCAAAGUUUGAACAAAUCCGUGGUAAGAUAUUGAGAAAGGACCCAGUCAUGGAUCUUGAAGCCACAUAUGGAUACGUCCUUCGUGAUGCUGUUCGCCAGACAACCAUCAAUGGAGAUUCUAAUUCGCAUGAAAUCUCAGCCAUGUUAGCUCGCCGAGACAGCCCCAACAACGGCACAUUCAUCCAAAAUCAAAUUCCAGCUUACUGAACCUUGGUGCUAAUUCUAUUCGAUCUCAAAAAGGCAUAAUGAAAUUGGUGCUGCAAAGUCAGAUCGAUUUUGUACUCACUGUGGUGAAACCGGCCAUUCUAAAUCCUGAUGUUAUGAACUGAUCGGAUACCCGGAUUGGAGGGAUCCUACGAAGGCGCCACGCAAGCGAAAUUCACGAACCAACCGUUAGGCCUCUAUCGCCAUAACUGAACCUGCAAAUGAUAAUUCAAUGACUGAACCUACAAGGAAUUCUCCUAAGAAAGCCUCCUCUCUAAUUGCUACUUCAGGUAAUAAUGGUAAGGUCCUUCAUACUUCAGCACCUAGUAAUAAUAAUAUAUGGAUAAUUGAUUCAGGCGCAACUGAUCACAUGAUCUUUGACACUCAUAGUGUUCACUCUAUAAAACCAUCCAUACAUCCUGUAGUAUUCACUGCCAAUGGUAAUUCCUCUCCUGUGAUUGGAGAAGGCUCACUUGCUCUUUCAGAUAAAUUGAAUUUAGAUUCAGUUCUCACUGUCCCUUCUCUCAACCAUAACUUGUUAUCUGUUGCUCAAAUAACUUGUGCUCUACAUUGUAUUGUGAUUUGUUGGCCUAACUGUUGUGUUUUUAAGGACACUAACACUCGGGAGACAAUUGGUUUUGGUACUAGGAAGGGCAAACUCUAUCACCUUGAUCUAUUACCGACUAGCUAUAAUUAGUUGGCACAAGUUUAUGCAACAGAUUGCUCUGACAAGACUUCAGAAAUUUGGUUGUGGCAUAGGCAGUUAGGUCAUGCAUCUUUUGGAUAUUUAAAAAAAUUAUUUCCAAAGUUAUUUUCUCAAUGUAAUAUUUCGAAUUUCAAGUGUGAUAUUUGUGAACUGGCCAAGAGUCAUUGUGUGUCAUUUCCAAUAAGUAUGAAUAAGAGUCUUGUACCAUUUAUGAUAAUUCAUUCUGAUGUAUGGGGCCCAACUAAUAAUUCUUCACUAAGUGGUGCACGUUGGUUUGUUUCCUCUAUUGAUGAUCACACUCGUAUGGCUUGGGUUUGUUUGAUGAAAUCUAAACAUGAAGUUAGUUCACUAUUUCAAAAAUUUCACAAAAUGAUAUCAAUAUCAGAUACAGUUGUUUAAAACUAAUAAUGGUGGUGAAUUUGUUAAUCAAGAUUUGAAACAGUAUCUACAAAUACAUGGAAUUGUUCACUAGACCACUUGUCCUUACUCACCUCAACAAAAUGGAGUUGCAGAGCGAAAAAAUUGUCACCUGCUCGAAGUUGUUCAUGCUUCCUUGUUCGAGGCCCACAUGGAUACUAGCUAUUGCGGCGAGGUCAUCAUUAAUGCUGCUUAUCUUAUUAAUCGCAUCCCUUCUAGUUCCUUAUAAUUUCAAACACCUUUUAAUGUUCUUCAUCAGACUAUAAGUGCUUCCACUGUCCCAAAUCUACCCCUCAAAUAUUUAGGUGUGUGGCUUUUGUGCAUCUUCAUAAACCUUUGAGAACUAAAUUCGAACCUCGAGCUCUUCGAUGUGUAUUUGUUGGCUAUGCAUCACAUCAAAAAGGAUAUCGACGUUAUCACCCCCCUUCUCGCAAACUAUAUGUCACUCUUGAUGUGGUAUUUCAUGAAAAUGACAGGUAUUAUUUCGAGUCUUCACUUUAGAGGGAGAAUCGAAGGAAUCAACAUGAAUUGCAGACUCUGAAUUAUUCCUUGGACAAAUUAAAUUUUGCAAAUGAUGAUAUUUUGAAUAUAAGUAGUGAAUGUUCACAUGAUCACACUUCGAAGGAUGGAAAUCUUGAUCAUACUUCAAAGGAUGAGAAUUUUCAAGAUCAAGCGGAAAUGGAUUCACCUGUAUCACAAGAGUUGGAGGCGGAUUCCCCAAUUUAUGAGGUACCAUCUAACCAAUUGCUUCCCGAGGAUGACUCCUCCACUAUACCUCAGGUAAAUUCUGAACCUCACCUAAAAAUGCUGCCAAAUCGAGUCACAAGAGGAAUACCUAGAGCAUGAUAUGAACCCGUUCUCAAUUCCAAAGCUAAGUAUCCUAUAAGUAAAUUUGUGUCUUACCAUAGACUGUCAUAGAAAAAUGAAUCAUUUGUAAAUCAAUUAUCUGCUGUAUCUAUUCCUAAUAUUGUGCAGGAUGCUUUGAAAGACCCCAGAUGGAAGAAAGCAAUGAAUGAAGAAAUGCAGUCCCUCCAAAAGAAUGCAACAUGGAAAGUUCUUAACUUACUUGAAGGAAAGAAACCCGUCAAGUGUAGAUGGGUUUUUACCAUUAAAUACAAGGCAGAUGGAACCAUUGAAAGAUUUAAAGCCUGAUUAGUUGCCAAGGGAUAUACAAAAACGUAUGGAAUUGAUUAUGGCGAGACAUUUGCACCAAUAGCUAAAAUCAAUACUGUACGUAUUUUAUUAUCCUUGGCCGUGAACCUCGACUGGUCCUUGCACCAGUUUGAUGUGAAAAAUGCAUUUCUACAUGGAGACAUUGAAGAAAAAGUCUAUAUGGAAUUGCCACUCGGGUGUAAUAUGCAGUCUAAAGAUAAUAAGCAUGUUUGUAAGUUAAAAAAG